rnacentral:rRNA from 1 species
UACGAAGGGGGCUAGCGUUGUUCGGAAUUACUGGGCGUAAAGCGCGUGUAGGCGGUCCGGUAAGUCCGCUGUGAAAGUCGGGGGCUCAACCCUCGAAUGCCGGUGGAUACUGUCGGGCUAGAGUGCGGAAGAGGCGAGUGGAAUUCCUGGUGUAGCGGUGAAAUGCGCAGAUAUCAGGAGGAACACCAAUUGCGAAGGCAGCUCGCUGGGACGUAACUGACGCUGAGACGCGAAAGCGUGGGGAGCAAACAGG